GUAGGUGAACCUGCGGAAGGAUCAUUAACUCAAUAUAUGUGUGAUUACUUCGGUAGUCAUGCAUCAUAUUAACAAAACCAAAUUAACAAUCCGUGAAACUAUAAACACAAAUGAAUGGGUUUGCGUGUCAUUACUUCGUUUGAAUGCACGUACUCAGCCAAUACCAAUUCCACUUACUUUUAACCAUAUUAACCCAUUACUGUAACGAUCGUCUUAUACAAGAGUAACAUUUUGUAUGUAACGAGCCGUACUAAAACAAAAGCAUGUUAUUACUUAAUUGAAUGCAUGCACCAAUUUUAUUCUAAAACAGAGAAAUACAACUCUUAACAAUGGAUAUCUUGGCUCUC
rnacentral:misc_RNA from 1 species